rnacentral:rRNA from 1 species
UGAGGAAUAUUGGUCAAUGGACGAGAGUCUGAACCAGCCAAGUAGCGUGAAGGAUGAAGGUCCUACGGAUUGUAAACUUCUUUUAUAAGGGAAUAAACCCUCCCACGUGUGGGAGCUUGU